rnacentral:rRNA from 1 species
UACGUAGGUGGCAAGCGUUGUCCGGAUUUAUUGGGCGUAAAGCGCGCGCAGGCGGUCUUUUAAGUCUGAUGUGAAAGCCCCCGGCUUAACCGGGGAGGGUCAUUGGAAACUGGAAGACUGGAGUGCAGAAGAGGAGAGUGGAAUUCCACGUGUAGCGGUGAAAUGCGUAGAUAUGUGGAGGAACACCAGUGGCGAAGGCGACUCUCUGGUCUGUAACUGACGCUGAGGAGCGAAAGCGUGGGGAGCGAACAGG